GGGGAGGCUGAGGCAGGAAGACAGCGGAAACUCAUGUCAGGCACUCGCGGUGACCACAGGGCUCCAGACGUGCACCAGUGUCGCCUGGUGAGAUCCGCCGCAAGGAGAACUGCAAGCCGCCAAGGAAGUGGAUCCGCCCUCAGCAGGGGGGACACAGCCAGGCAGGUUCAGGGACCCCCAGGUCUCACCCCUCUGCGCCAACCCCCAGGAUCCUCUGUGGCCCCAGAAGUCUUGUCCGCCAGGUGGAGGCGGGGGCACAGGGGUGUGGGCUCUGAUUGGUCCAGGCCUGCGUCAAUCACUGUGGUCUGGCGGGUACACGAACCGAGAUUGGCCACUCUCGGGUCGCAGGGCAGCCUUGCGCCAGGAAGGAACCUCUAGGAUGAAUGAAGCGGUGUCCAAGUUGCCACUGUCCAGGCUGGGCUCGAACUGGCAGUCCUCUAGCCCCAGCCUCCCAGAGCGCCAAGCUGGUUCUGCGUGUUCGGGGGCGGGCGAAGGAGCAGGCCCGCCUGCCUACGCCCUGUAGACCUCGGAGCAGGAGCCAGAGCGGAGCCGGGCCUCCCAGAAUUCGAAGAUCACAAGGAAGCAGCAUCAAGCCCGUCUGGAACCCCAGCACUCAGGAGGCUGAGGCAGGAGGAUCCCAAAUUGAAGCCCAGCCUGGGCAAUUCAGCGACUUAAUGAGACCUUGUUUCAAAUUUGAAAAAAAAAGCGCUGGAUAUGUAGCUCAGUGCAAAGGCCCUGGGUUCAGUUUCCAGGAACAAAACAAAAACCCAAAAGCAAAUCCUAAAUUUUUACAGACCCAGACACAAAAAGCCUGUAAAUUGGGCCCGGGCUUUGUAGGAAGGGAUGAAUGUUGUCUGUAAAUUGAACCCCACAGACUCCACCCCAGCAACCCAGUUUUAGGUCACAAGGUCUCCCCCUUCUCCAGGGCCCCUCUCUUCUCUCUGAAUGUGUACUUUAAAUUCUGCCUAAUACAACUCUUUAUGCCUCUCACGUGCCUUUUUGUUGUUUAUAUUUUUUACUUUUUGAGAUGGUCUCACUAUGUGGUUCAGGCUGGCCUUGAACUCACCCACCGUGAAGCCCUCACUGGCCUGGAACUCGAAGUGAUCCUCCUGCCUCAGCCUCCAGAGCGCUGGGAUUACAGGCUGUGCACCUGGCUGUCUCUCACUCUAGCGUCUUGAUGGAUUUUUUUUUCCUGUGAUGGAAGUUAGCGAACCACAACAUGCCCCAUGGUGGGGUGGGUUGAGGUCCCCCUCGGGUUUCGGGGACCCCCUUGGACGCUGCCUGGUGACGAUACCUACAUUGCUGGAAUAUCGACCGCGACCCUGAUGCCCUCACCAGGCUGAGGGGCGAGGGGCAGCAGGGUUUGGGGACCGAGGCCCCGUCCUCCCUGCUCCGCUGCCCCUCGGGGCCCUGGAGGCUGCACAGCCCGACUCUCCGCCCUCACAGGCAGCCAGGCGGCUCCCGGCGGAAUUAGCAAGGCCUGACCUAAAUACAGCACAACCCGGAGCCCAGCAGCGCGGGAGCCAGCCGUGUGGGGACCCACACCAUGAG
ensembl:lncRNA